rnacentral:rRNA from 1 species
GAGUUUGAUCUUGGCUCAGAUUGAACGCUGGCGGCAUGCCUUACACAUGCAAGUCGAACGGCAGCACGGGAGCUUGCUCCUGGUGGCGAGUGGCGAACGGGUGAGUAAUGCAUCGGAACGUAUCCUGGAGUGGGGGAUAACGUAGCGAAAGUUACGCUAAUACCGCAUAUUCUGUGAGCAGGAAAGCGGGGGACCUUCGGGCCUCGCGCUCUUGGAGCGGCCGAUGUCGGAUUAGCUAGUUGGUGAGGUAAAGGCUCACCAAGGCGACGAUCCGUAGCAGGUCUGAGAGGAUGAUCUGCCACACUGGAACUGAGACACGGUCCAGACUCCUAUGGGAGGCAGCAGUGGGGAAUUUUGGACAAUGGGGGCAACCCUGAUCCAGCCAUGCCGCGUGAGUGAAGAAGGCCU